CCUACGGGUGGCAGCAGUGGGGAAUAUUGGGCAAUGGGCGCAAGCCUGACCCAGCAACGCCGCGUGAAGGAAGAAUGCUUUCGGGUUGUAAACUUCUUUUCUGAGGGACGAAGAAAGUGCCGGUACCUCAGGAAUAAUCCACUGCUAACUACGUGCCAGCAGCCGCGGUAAUACGUAGGUGGCAAGCGUUAUCCGGAUUUCUUGGUUGUAAAGGGCGUGUAGGCGGGAAAGCAAGUCAGAUGUGAAAACUCAGGGCUCAACCCUGAGCCUGCAUUUGAAACUGUUUUUCUUGAGUGCUGGAGAGGCAAGCGGAAUUCCGGGGGGAGCGGUGAAAUGCGUAGAUAUAAGGAGGAACACCAGUGGCGAAGGCGGAUUGCUGGACAGUAACUGACGCUGAGGCGCGAAAGCGUGGGGAGCAAACAGGAUUAGAUACCCGGGUAGUC
rnacentral:rRNA from 1 species